rnacentral:tRNA from 1 species
UAUACUUUAGUAUAAGAUGUACAAAAGUUUUUGAUACUUUAAGAAAUAGUUUGAUUCUAUUAAGUAUAA